AUUUAGGUUAUCGAUACCAAAUAAAAACUAAUUUUUUUUUGUAACAAUUAAGCUUUUAUUGGAAGAUCUACAGAGUCUUAAUUUUAAACUUACGUUCCACCGUUUCGACAAAGUCUAUAAAAUCCUUGUAUAGAACCUUUGGAACCUCUAGAGCGGCAAAGUGCCCGCCCUUUUUGUGAUCGGCGAACUGCGCAACUCCUCGCUUACGAUCGUCGAGCACAAAUGAUUUGUAAAGCGCAAGCUACCGGCAAACAAAAGCUUUUUGUUGGCUUGUGGAUUUCAAGUGGAUCGUAUUCCACACGGCAAUGCAAUGCGAGCAUGAUUGGACAAAUAAUUUGAGAAUUUCGGCGAGCUUUUGGCAACAAAUUGAGCCAAUUUUUCCCACAAAGGCGGUAAAAUCAUUGAACAACAUGGCCGGCAUCUCCAGGGCGGCAAAGUGGCUGCCCUGCUGGAAGUACAUCGAGUGGGUCAGGUUGGGGAACUUGUCCCUCAGCUGCCAGUCAGUCACCGAGGCCAGAUCGAACCGGAAGCGGGCACAGCCCAUGGGAACCGGGGACUGCACACGAUCCAGCUGGAGAUCCCUGUACGUCUUGGACACGUUCUCCAGGUAGAAACGAGCCGCUGUCGUGGCCGAGUUCGUCAGAUAGUAGACCAUCAGGUUGUCCAGCACAGCCUCCAGGCCGAAGACAGUGACUAUGGCGCCAAAGUCCUGCUUCAGGCCGGGAUUUGUGCAGGUCUGGAAUUUCUCGAGGAUAUAGGAGGCCAAGCCGACGGGACUGGAGGUCAGAGCCGCUCCAAUCGUAUCCGGCUUGGUGGCCUGGAUGUGAAAGUAACCGCUUUCCUCCAGCAGCUCCAGCCAUUUUUCCCACACGGGGAAGUGAUGAUCCACAAAGAAUCUGGACGGCAAGUACUUCUCCGGGAAGAAGCUGCCGUAGAUUCCCUUCAGAAUGGCCAGUGGCGUGUGCAGAACGCACAUGUUCGAGUGGUAACCGAUUACGUUCUCUGGAUACAAGGUGGCCAAGUUGCUGCCAAUGAUGCUGCCCCAAUCUCCGCCUUGGAUGAAGAACUUCUUGUGGCCCAGACGCAGCAUCAGGUUACGCAUCACAGUGGCCAUUUCAGCGGCAUUAAAUCCGGGACGCGUGGCAGCCUUAAGUUAUAAUAAUAAUAAUAAUAAUUAAAAUGAAGAAAUUCAACUGAAAAACAAAUAACACUCACAUC
rnacentral:lncRNA from 1 species